rnacentral:rRNA from 1 species
AUGAAGAAGAGAAAAAAAGAUAAGAGUGAACCAAUGGGUCGUAGAAUGGUUGAGCAGGGCAGUGAUAAUGAUGGUCCUGCCAUUCCUGUUAGUGAUGCCAUACCAAAUGAGGUAGUGAUUACAUAUGAUAAGGACCACCCAAAAAUGGACCUUGGCACAAUGUACCCAUCAAUGAAGGAAUUUAGGUUAGCAGUGAGGCAAUUUGCCAUCAAUGAGGAGUUUGAUAUAGGCACAGAGAAGUCAGAUAAAAAGAGAUUUAGAGGGUUCUGCAAGUCAAGUGAGGAUUGUCCUUGGAGGAUUGUUGGCAGCCUACAGGAUGAUAAAUGUACUAUAAAGGUCACAGUUUUAGUUGAUCAACAUGAUUGUGUUUCAAGCAGCAGGGUGAAGACCAUAACGCCAUCGCAAGACUGGGUAUCUAACAAGGCUGUGAGUAUCCUUAGGAAUUCACCUAAUAUGGGUGCUAAAGAAUUACAGAAAAAGUUGCAAGAACAACACAAAGUCACGAUUCUAUAUGACACAGUCUGGAGAGGGAAAGAAAAAGCUCUUGCAGAGGUUUAUGGUAAAUGGGAAGAGAGUUUCGAGAUGUUAUAUAAAUGGAAGGCUGAGGUACUGAAGAGGUCACCUGGAAGUGUUGUGGAGAUUUAA